GACAGAGGAUGCAAGCGUUAUCCGGAAUGAUUGGGCGUAAAGCGUCUGUAGGUGGCUUUUUAAGUCCGCCGUCAAAUCCCAGGGCUCAACCCUGGACAGGCGGUGGAAACUACCAAGCUGGAGUACGGUAGGGGCAGAGGGAAUUCCUGGUGUAGCGGUGAAAUGCGCAGAUAUCAGGAGGAACACCGAUGGCGAAGGCAGGUCUCUGGGCCACUACUGACGCUGAGAAGCGAAAGCAUGGGGAGCGAACAGG
rnacentral:rRNA from 1 species